rnacentral:misc_RNA from 1 species
GUAUUUUGAAUUGUUUAUUCAUAAUAGUUUUUCAGACAAAGUGGUUCAAGGUUAUAGGUUGGUGUAGGUGUUUCUCCGAAAAGAAACACAACAUUGCACACAAGGUGAGUACUAUUUUUAAAAAGUGCAGUAAAACACUUAUUAUGAAUGAUCCUUCCGCAGGUUCACCUACGGAAA